UAGCCUUGCGAAAUUUGCAAUUUUCAGUCAUUUUAGAUUACAAACCGGAAAUUGACAGCCUCGAAGGGUUUGGGGCUGUCAAUUUCCCGUUUGUAAUCUAAAAUGACUGAAAAUUGCAAAUUUCGCAAGGCUAUAUUUUCCGCAUUUUUCAACAUUUCGCAACGAAACUUUGGAAUGUUACUAAUUUUGUGAUGCUCUUUCAAGCUGUGAUGAAAUUUUUGUCUAGACUUGUUUAGUUCAAAAUUUGGUCUAUUACGCAAAUGGUCAAUUGGUGA